GAAAUGGAAACAAGGAAACUUCUCUUUGUAUACAUUUGCAACAAAGACAAUACUGAAGCUGCAACAGCAAUUGGUGACGGAAGUAGAAUGCUCUUUAAUAAAUAGAUAACUGACAUUCCCAGAAAUCUGUCAUCCCUUCACAAAGGAAGGUUAAGCAUUAAAGAUGGUUCUAUAUUCAGCU